rnacentral:tRNA from 1 species
GAAUGUAGCUUAAUGGUAGAGUGCCUCCAUAGCAUGCAUGAGGCCCUGUGUUCUAUCCCCAGCACUGCA